rnacentral:misc_RNA from 1 species
CCGUACUGUGGUGCGGCCAACCGUCAUGGGGCUUGUCGUUUCAGUCUCCGCCCGGAUGCAUUCUUCCAGGGCGGAGGGACCGUAUUGAGCUGGUGCUUGCGUCGGUACCUUUGGCGGAAUAUUUGUAGACUAGCGAUGGAUUACUUUCCCGGAUUGUGCACGGAUGGCGUCCGUGCGCAUAAAAUGUCGGCUGUUCCUUGACCUGCAGCGGUUGAAAUCCCCAGCGCAGGGCUCGAUUAUUGCCGCCUCUUUCGGAUGCUGUAGCCAUAGACGGUGUUGCGGUCCUGCGGUCCGCAAAGUCCCUGGGUAGAUGCCUCGUGCGGGUUGCUACUCCCUUCUUCUCCGCUCUGUGCAGCGGGCUGCGGGGCUGAGCGCUCGUUCGUGUGCGAUGUUCGUCCCUCGCGGAGAGCGAUUGUCGGUCCACUACGUGCGAAUGUUUCCCCUUCGGGGGGCAGCCGCGGCGGAGUGCCGGUUCUCGUUUAUGACGUGCUACCUGGU